rnacentral:rRNA from 2 species
AACUCUGGUAUUGAUUGGUGCUUGCAUCAUGAUUUACAUUUGAGUGAGUGGCGAACUGGUGAGUAACACGUGGGAAACCUGCCCAGAAGCGGGGGAUAACACCUGGAAACAGAUGCUAAUACCGCAUAACAACUUGGACCGCAUGGUCCGAGCUUGAAAGAUGGCUUCGGCUAUCACUUUUGGAUGGUCCCGCGGCGUAUUAGCUAGAUGGUGGGGUAACGGCUCACCAUGGCAAUGAUACGUAGCCGACCUGAGAGGGUAAUCGGCCACAUUGGGACUGAGACACGGCCCAAACUCCUACGGGAGGCAGCAGUAGGGAAUCUUCCACAAUGGACGAAAGUCUGAUGGAGCAACGCCGCGUGAGUGAAGAAGGGUUUCGGCUCGUAAAACUCUGUUGUUAAAGAAGAACAUAUCUGAGAGUAACUGUUCAGGUAUUGACGGUAUUUAACCAGAAAGCCACGGCUAACUACGUGCCAGCAGCCGCGGUAAUACGUAGGUGGCAAGCGUUGUCCGGAUUUAUUGGGCGUAAAGCGAGCGCAGGCGGUUUUUUAAGUCUGAUGUGAAAGCCUUUCGGCUCAACCGAAGAAGUGCAUCGGAAACUGGGAAACUUGAGUGCAGAAGAGGACAGUGGAACUCCAUGUGUAGCGGUGAAAUGCGUAGAUAUAUGGAAGAACACCAGUGGCGAAGGCGGCUGUCUGGUCUGUAACUGACGCUGAGGCUCGAAAGUAUGGGUAGCAAACAGGAUUAGAUACCCUGGUAGUCCAUACCGUAAACGAUGAAUGCUAAGUGUUGGAGGGUUUCCGCCCUUCAGUGCUGCAGCUAACGCAUUAAGCAUUCCGCCUGGGGAGUACGGCCGCAAGGCUGAAACUCAAAGGAAUUGACGGGGGCCCGCACAAGCGGUGGAGCAUGUGGUUUAAUUCGAAGCUACGCGAAGAACCUUACCAGGUCUUGACAUACUAUGCAAAUCUAAGAGAUUAGACGUUCCCUUCGGGGACAUGGAUACAGGUGGUGCAUGGUUGUCGUCAGCUCGUGUCGUGAGAUGUUGGGUUAAGUCCCGCAACGAGCGCAACCCUUAUUAUCAGUUGCCAGCAUUAAGUUGGGCACUCUGGUGAGACUGCCGGUGACAAACCGGAGGAAGGUGGGGAUGACGUCAAAUCAUCAUGCCCCUUAUGACCUGGGCUACACACGUGCUACAAUGGAUGGUACAACGAGUUGCGAACUCGCGAGAGUAAGCUAAUCUCUUAAAGCCAUUCUCAGUUCGGAUUGUAGGCUGCAACUCGCCUACAUGAAGUCGGAAUCGCUAGUAAUCGCGGAUCAGCAUGCCGCGGUGAAUACGUUCCCGGGCCUUGUACACACCGCCCGUCACACCAUGAGAGUUUGUAACACCCAAAGUCGGUGA